rnacentral:rRNA from 1 species
AGAACGAACGCUGGCGGCAUGCCUCAUACAUGCAAGUCGAACGCUCUACAGGCUUCGGUCUGUGGGGAGUGGCGCACGGGUGAGUAGCGCGUGGGAACCUGCCCAACAGUGGGGGAUAACCGAUGGAAACGUCGGCUAAUACCGCAUGUGCCCCGGGGGCAACUCGGGGGGAAAGAUUUAUCGCUGUUGGAGGGGCCCGCGUCGGAUUAGCUAGUUGGUGGGGUAACGGCCUACCAAGGCUUUGAUCCGUAGCUGGUCUGAGAGGAUGAUCAGCCACACUGGGACUGAGACACGGCCCAGACUCCUACGGGAGGCAGCAGUAGGGAAUAUUGGACAAUGGGGGAAACCCUGAUCCAGCAAUGCCGCGUGAGUGAGGAAGGCCCUAGGGUUGUAAAGCUCUUUCGCACGCGACGAUGAUGACGGUAGCGUGAGAAGAAGCCCGGCUAACUCGUGCCAGCAGCCGC